rnacentral:rRNA from 1 species
GGAUUAGAUACCCUGGUAGUCCACGCCGUAAACGAUGAGUACUAGGUGUUGCAGGUAUUGACCCCUGCAGUGCCGUCGCUAACGCAUUAAGUACUCCGCCUGGGAAGUACGGCCGCAAGGCUAAAACUCAAAGGAAUUGACGGGGGCCCGCACAAGCGGUGGAGUAUGUGGUUUAAUUCGACGCAACGCGCAGAACCUUACCCAGUCUUGACAUCCUUGGAAUCCGCUUGAAAGAGCGGAGUGCCUUUCGGGGCCCAGGUGACAGGUGCUGCAUGGCUGUCGUCAGCUCGUGCCG